rnacentral:rRNA from 1 species
AGCUCCUUAUGGAGCGAAGUCUUUGAUUCCCCGCUGCCAAGAAAAGCUUCUAGCGAGAUAAAAGGUGCCUGUACCGCAAACCGACACAGGUAGGCGAGGAGAGAAUCCUAAGGUGUGCGAGAGAACUCUGGUUAAGGAACUCGGCAAAAUGACCCCGUAACUUCGGGAGAAGGGGUGCUUUCUUAACGGAAAGCCGCAGUGAAUAGGCCCAAGCGACUGUUUAGCAAAAACACAGGUCUCUGCGAAGCCGUAAGGCGAAGUAUAGGGGCUGACACCUGCCCGGUGCUGGAAGGUUAAGGAGAGGGGUUAGCGCAAGCGAAGCUCUGAACUGAAGCCCCAGUAAACGGCGGCCGUAACUAUAACGGUCCUAAGGUAGCGAAAUUCCUUGUCGGGUAAGUUCCGACCCGCACGAAAGGUGUAACGAUUUGGGCACUGUCUCAACCAGAGACUCGGUGAAAUUAUAGUACCUGUGAAGAUGCAGGUUACCCGCGACAGGACGGAAAGACCCCGUGGAGCUUUACUGUAGCCUGAUAUUGAAUUUUGGUACAGCUUGUACAGGAUAGGCGGGAGCCUUUGAAGCCGGAGCGCUAGCUUCGGUGGAGGCGCUGGUGGGAUACCGCCCUGGCUG